CUAUAUUUGAGAUAUGGAAACUCCUAUCUUAUACCUAAAAAGCAUUAUUGUUACCUGGCUGAGCUCCAGUUCUGCUUCCUGGGUGAUUGGGACCAUCCUCCGCAUCCUGUAUGGACUGGGCUCUUCCUCCUGUUCCUUCCCUCCCUCCAGAGGAAUUUGCCCUUACAACCACCUUACAAAAGGAGAAACGUCAGGAAGCAUCAAGUGGAGCCAAGAGGGAGGAGCAGCAGGAGCAGGAAGAAAAGGGGAGCUUUGAAAGCUUACAGAGCUGGCCGGAAGGACCUGGCAGAAGUGCGGGGCCAGAUGUUGCUUUCUCAAAGCUCCCCUGCGAGGCUGUCUUCUAAGGGAUGCUUCCAUCGAUUGUCAUCUCAAGACUCCCCUGGGGAGGUCUGCAAGACAGCGUCUGCCAGAGUCCGCCAACCAUGCGGGAAGCCUGUGGAAGACCAGAGAAGAACAAUGACAGAGGACAGUCCCCAACCUACCUCCAGGGACCACAACUGUCUGAAUACAAAGGAAUGGAUCAAAACAGGCAUGGCAACUGGACCUUGCCUUCCAGGCAGCCGCAGUCCCCAGCCAAACCCUGCCAGCCUGGGCUGAGGGUGGCAGCUGUCUCAGCCAAUCCAUUACCUGCCAUGCUGUCUUCAGAUGUGUGUCUCCUGGGAUGAGUAGACUGUGCCUGACACACCUUUCCUCGUAGGAACGCUUAUCUCCCCAAACGGGGAAGUGGAGGAACAGAAAACCUGGUUUUUCUCCUUAUCCCACACCCUCUGUGCUAAUGGUGUCU
rnacentral:lncRNA from 1 species